AGAAAUAACAAAAAUUGUGUUUAAUCGUUGUCAUUAAUAAAUAAAGGUCCAAAUAUGACAAACAUUUGUACUGCUCUGCCGAAGUGUCAAUAAACUACA